rnacentral:pre_miRNA from 1 species
GCUUUAUUUCGCGUGCUUUCUCACCGGUCAGAGUGACGAGAGAGUACACGAAAUGAAGAGA